rnacentral:lncRNA from 1 species
GGGUACAUUGGGCUUUUAUUUUUAAUCCGUUAAAGUCAUUGGGCCCAGUCACCAUAUUAUAUCCGUUUUAAUCUUUAAGGCCGGGUCAGUCCAGUGGAUCGACCCAUUAGAUAUUUUAAUAUCUGUUACUUUGACUUGUGAUGAUGAAAAAGCAUGACGGUUGACCAAGCCUCCUGCCAUGCAUUAAUGUGGAUGGGAUCAUAGUCGGCCGGCGGUAGAAAACAGUGGCCAAAAGCAGUAGAUAAACCUUAUACAGUCGGCAGAGCCCAUCAGAUCAG